GACGAACGCUGGCGGCGUGCUUAUCACAUGCAAGACGAACGGAAAGGCCCUGCUUUUGUGGGGUGCUCGAGUGGCGAACGGGUGAGUAACACGUGAGUAACCUGCCCUUGACUUUGGGAUAACUUCAGGAAACUGGGGCUAAUACCGGAUAGGAGCUCCUGCUGCAUGGUGGGGGUUGGAAAGUUUCGGCGGUUGGGGAUGGACUCGCGGCUUAUCAGCUUGUUGGUGGGGUAGUGGCUUACCAAGGCUUUGACGGGUAGCCGGCCUGAGAGGGUGACCGGCCACAUUGGGACUGAGAUACGGCCCAGACUCCUACGGGAGGCAGCAGUGGGGAAUAUUGCACAAUGGGCGGAAGCCUGAUGCAGCAACGCCGCGUGCGGGAUGACGGCCUUCGGGUUGUAAACCGCUUUCGCCUGUGACGAAGCGUGAGUGACGGUAAUGGGUAAAGAAGCACCGGCUAACUACGUGCCAGCAGCCGCGGUGAUACGUAGGGUGCGAGCGUUGUCCGGAUUUAUUGGGCGUAAAGGGCUCGUAGGUGGUUGAUCGCGUCGGAAGUGUAAUCUUGGGGCUUAACCCUGAGCGUGCUUUCGAUACGGGUUGACUUGAGGAAGGUAGGGGAGAAUGGAAUUCCUGGUGGAGCGGUGGAAUGCGCAGAUAUCAGGAGGAACACCAGUGGCGAAGGCGGUUCUCUGGGCCUUUCCUGACGCUGAGGAGCGAAAGCGUGGGGAGCGAACAGGCUUAGAUACCCUGGUAGUCCACGCUGUAAACGGUGGGUACUAGGUGUGGGGUCCAUUCCACGGGUUCCGUGCCGUAGCUAACGCUUUAAGUACCCCGCCUGGGGAGUACGGCCGCAAGGCUAAAACUCAAAGGAAUUGACGGGGCCCCGCACAAGCGGCGGAGCAUGCGGAUUAAUUCGAUGCAACGCGUAGAACCUUACCUGGGUUUGACAUGGAUCGGGAGUGCUCAGAGAUGGGUGUGCCUCUUUUGGGGUCGGUUCACAGGUGGUGCAUGGCUGUCGUCAGCUCGUGUCGUGAGAUGUUGGGUUAAGUCCCGCAACGAGCGCAACCCUUGUUCACUGUUGCCAGCACGUUAUGGUGGGGACUCAGUGGAGACCGCCGGGGUCAACUCGGAGGAAGGUGGGGAUGACGUCAAGUCAUCAUGCCCCUUAUGUCCAGGGCUUCACGCAUGCUACAAUGGCUGGUACAGAGAGUGGCGAGCCUGUGAGGGUGAGCGAAUCUCGGAAAGCCGGUCUCAGUUCGGAUUGGGGUCUGCAACUCGACCUCAUGAAGUCGGAGUCGCUAGUAAUCGCAGAUCAGCAACGCUGCGGUGAAUACGUUCCCGGG
rnacentral:rRNA from 1 species